rnacentral:rRNA from 1 species
CUACGGGGGGCAGCAGUGGGGAAUAUUGCACAAUGGGCGCAAGCCUGAUGCAGCCAUGCCGCGUGUAUGAAGAAGGCCUUCGGGUUGUAAAGUACUUUCAGCGGGGAGGAAGGGAGUAAAGUUAAUACCUUUGCUCAUUGACGUUACCCGCAGAAGAAGCACCGGCUAACUCCGUGCCGAGCAGCCGCGGUAAUACGGAGGGUGCAAGCGUUAAUCGGAAUUACUGGGCGUAAAGCGCACGCAGGCGGUUUGUUAAGUCAGAUGUGAAAUCCCCGGGCUCAACCUGGGAACUGCAUCUGAUACUGGCAAGCUUGAGUCUCGUAGAGGGGGGUAGAAUUCCAGGUGUAGCGGUGAAAUGCGUAGAGAUCUGGAGGAAUACCGGUGGCGAAGGCGGCCCCCUGGACGAAGACUGACGCUCAGGUGCGAAAGCGUGGGGAGCAAACAGGAUUAGAUACCCUCGUAGUC